rnacentral:rRNA from 1 species
UAAUACGUGAUCUCUAAGCGUUAUCCGGAUUUAUUGGGCGUAAAGCGUUCGUAGGCGGUUAGAUAAGUCUCUGGUUAAAGCCCCAUGGCUUAACUAUGGGAAUGCCAGAGAUACUACCUAACUAGAGGGCGUUAGAGGCUGAUGGAACGGUCGGUGUAGGUGUGAAAUCCGUUGAUAUCGACCGGAACACUAAAAGCGAAGGCAUUCAGCUGGAGCGACCCUGACGCUGAGGAACGAAAGCGUGGGUAGCGAACGAGAUUAGAUACCUCGGUAGUCCACGCUGUAAACGAUGGACACUAGCUAUUUGAAGUGUCGACCCUUCAAGUGGCGAAGCUAACGCGUUAAGUGUCCCGCCUGGGAAGUACGGCCGCAAGGCUA